rnacentral:rRNA from 1 species
GACGAACGCUGGCGGCAUGCCUAACACAUGCAAGUCGAACGGCAACGCACUGCUUUCUUGCUCUGCUCGAGUGGCGAACGGGUACGUAACACGUAAGCAACCUGAUCUUCAUUUUGGGAUAAGUUCACGAAACUGAGCUUAAUCCAGGAUAGGAUCCCCCGUUGGAUGGUGGGGGUUGGAUAGUCUAGGCGGUUGGGGAUGGACUCGCGGAUUAUCAGCUUGUUGGUGGGGUAGUGGCUUACCCAGGCUUUGAAGGGCAGCCGGCCUGAGUGGGUGACCGGCCACAUUGGGACUGAGGUACGGCCCAGACGGCUACGGGAGGAAGCAGUGGGGAAUAUUGCACAAUGGGCGGAAGGCUGAUGCAGCAGCGCCGCGUGCUGGAUGACGGCCUUCGGGUUGUAAACCGCUUUCGCCUGUAACGAAGGGUGAGUGACGGUAAUGGGUAAAGAAGCAACGGCUAACUACGUG